rnacentral:rRNA from 1 species
AUGAACGCUAGCUACAGGCUUAACACAUGCAAGUCGAGGGGAAACGACAUCGAAAGCUUGCUUUUGAUGGGCGUCGACCGGCGCACGGGUGAGUAACGCGUAUCCAACCUGCCCACCACUUGGGGAUAACCUUGCGAAAGUAAGACUAAUACCCAAUGAUAUCUCUAGAAGACAUCUGAAAGAGAUUAAAGAUUUAUCGGUGAUGGAUGGGGAUGCGUCUGAUUAGCUUGUUGGCGGGGUAACGGCCCACCAAGGCGACGAUCAGUAGGGGUUCUGAGAGGAAGGUCCCCCACAUUGGAACUGAGACACGGUCCAAACUCCUACGGGAGGCAGCAGUGAGGAAUAUUGGUCAAUGGACGAGAGUCUGAACCAGCCAAGUAGCGUGCAGGAUGACGGCCCUAUGGGUUGUAAACUGCUUUUAUAAGGGAAUAAAGUGAGUCUCGUGAGACUUUUUGCAUGUACCUUAUGAAUAAGGACCGGCUAAUUCCGUGCCAGCAGCCGCGGUAAUACGGAAGGUCCGGGCGUUAUCCGGAUUUAUUGGGUUUAAAGGGAGCGUAGGCCGGAGAUUAAGCGUGUUGUGAAAUGUAGAUGCUCAACAUCUGCACUGCAGCGCGAACUGGUUUCCUUGAGUACGCACAAAGUGGGCGGAAUUCGUGGUGUAGCGGUGAAAUGCUUAGAUAUCACGAAGAACUCCGAUUGCGAAGGCAGCUCACUGGAGCGCAACUGACGCUGAAGCUCGAAAGUGCGGGUAUCGAACAGGAUUAGAUACCCUGGUAGUCCGCACGGUAAACGAUGGAUGCCCGCUGUUGGUCUGAAUAGGUCAGCGGCCAAGCGAAAGCAUUAAGCAUCCCACCUGGGGAGUACGCCGGCAACAGUGAAACUCAAAGGAAUUGACGGAAGG